rnacentral:rRNA from 1 species
AUUGAACGCUGGCGGUAUGCCUUACACAUGCAAGUCGAACGGCAGCACGGGAGCAAUCCUGGUGGCGAGUGGCGAACGGGUGAGUAAUGUAUCGGAACGUGCCCAGUCGUGGGGGAUAACGUAGCGAAAGCUACGCUAAUACCGCAUACGAUCUAUGGAUGAAAGCGGGGGAUCGCAAGACCUCGCGCGAUUGGAGCGGCCGAUAUCAGAUUAGGUAGUUGGUGGGGUAAAGGCUCACCAAGCCGACGAUCUGUAGCUGGUCUGAGAGGACGACCAGCCCCACUGGGACUGAGACACGGCCCAGACUCCUACGGGAGGCAGCAGUGGGGAAUUUUGGACAAUGGGCGCAAGCCUGAUCCAGCAAUGCCGCGUGCAGGAUGAAGGCCUUCGGGUUGUAAACUGCUUUUGUACGGAGCGGAAAGGCUCUCUCUAAUACAGGGGGCUCAUGACGGUACCGUAAGAAUAAGCACCGGCUAACUACGUGCCAGCAGCCGCCGUAACAC